GACGAACGCUGGCGGCGUGCUUAACACAUGCAAGUCGAACGAUGAAGCCGGAGCUUGCUCUGGUGAAUUAGUGGCGAACGGGUGAGUAACACGUGAGUAACCUGCCCUUGACUCUGGGAUAACUGCUAGAAAUGGUAGCUAAUACCGGAUACGACCCUCGGAGGCAUCUCCAGGGGGUGGAAAGAAUUUCGGUCAAGGAUGGACUCGCGGCCUAUUAGCUAGUUGGUGAGGUAACGGCUCACCAAGGCGACGACGGGUAGCCGGCCUGAGAGGGUGACCGGCCACACUGGGACUGAGACACGGCCCAGACUCCUACGGGAGGCAGCAGUGGGGAAUAUUGCACAAUGGGCGCAAGCCUGAUGCAGCAACGCCGCGUGAGGGAUGACGGCCUUCGGGUUGUAAACCUCUUUUAGUAGGGAAGAAGCGAAAGUGACGGUACCUGCAGAAAAAGCACCGGUUACUACGUGCCAGCCGCCGCGGUAA
rnacentral:rRNA from 1 species